UGGUGAGUUCUAUAUUUCCUAACAAGGUUUGUAUGUCAUUUAUUUAGAUAAUCAAUUUGAAUCUUGACACCCUGAUUGAGUUACUGUAUUAUAGCUACACAAACAAUCCAUUACUAGUUGCUAUGUUUUUUUAAAAAAAGGGGAUAGAGACAGUGAGUCAGAAGAGAAAGUACUCCUGUCUUACACAACUGUUAGGAUGCUGAUAUACACUAAAUUCAAUGUCAACAAAGUUAAGUCUAUUUGAUAAGCGCUAAAUGAUCAAAGUGUCUAUAAUUGACACACUUUCAUAUGCGCUUAAUUUAUAAGCGAGAGUAAAUUAUACGUUCGUGAGAACUGAGUUUCAAAAUCAGCCCAGUGUUAUACCAUUUUUAGUGUGACGCUGCUUGUGCUAUUUAGGAAUGUCCAGGCUGAAAACAGACUGACACAUACUACAUGGAGUACUGCCCCUCUCUGCGAAUACCUGUCAGUAGUUCAAGUUGUUAGGUGAAAGAGACAGCAAGGCUCACUUACUGUUGGAAACUUGACAAUGAGGUUACUUUGCAAUGGAUGAUUUAAAUCCAAAGAGUUUGUCUUGGGGGCUCUACAGCAAGUCAUUUUUCAGAUUUCAUAAUCAAAGAAUUCAUUUUCAUUCUUUUAUUGGGAUGUCAAAUCAACCCUUGUAAAUCUAGCAUCCCCAAAUAAAAUUUUGUCCUUAUUUACACAAAAAGAGAUUAUUUAGAUGUGCCAAGUGAGAUGGUGGAAAAUAGAAUACAAAACUGUUGAGGCAGACACAACCUUCCUGAGGCCCUGAAAUCUGGUCUUCUGCCUUCAAUCUUGUAUCUCUGUACUAUUUCAGUAAACAAAUCUGACUAGUGCAAUUAGUAGAUGCCAUCUGUUUUGGCAUAAUUUUUCUAUUUUUAAUAUGUAGUCCAUCUUUUUUUUUAAUGGUUUUGGAGAAAAUCUGUGAAGUUUGAACAAGUGGCCUUCCCAAGAUGUACCGAAUAUCUCAGCUGAUGUCGACACCAGUAGCAAGUAAAUGUUCCUCCAGGUUGGACAGAGAAUGUGCUGGCAAAUUCUCUACCACAUGUAUUUUUCCAAGAUUUGCCUGGGACUUCCUGGAUGGUGACAAUUCCUUUGAAUGCUGCUCUAUGGAUCCCUUGACAGGUUCCCACAACACCUGUCGCCAAAGUCCCAGGCUCCUCACCAAUGGCUACUAUAUAUGGACAGAGGACAGUUUCCUCUGUGACAAAGAUGGUAACAUAACUCUGAACCCCUCACAGACUCGUGUUAUGUAUAAGGAGAAGCUGGUCGGAAUAUUUAGAAAGAAAAGGAGAUUCUGCUAUUCUCUGUCUUCUCUCUUCAACAUCAGUGCCUCUGAGUACUGGUUGCAUGGAAGCACCUACGGUGAUGUUGACACUUGCCCAAGGGAGGGCGUCUGGCUGGAAGGUGUCAGGAGGCUGGAUGCAUCUCACCGCAGUGAAAAUGAUGAAUGGGAGAUGGAGGAGAAGCCAACUAAAGAGUCUACGGAAGCUUCCUUUUCCAGCCUCGUCCUAUCUCAGCCUCCCAAGGAGAACUCCCAGGGCUGCUGUCUUCAGGCCCCAUGGAAAGCAUCUGGACAUUUCCAAGAGUGUUUUGGAUCAUCCAAAUAUCAGUUUGCUGCGAGAGGUCUCCUUGCAGGCAAUCCUGUUCAUGGCAUGCUUCAUCAUUUCUGUGUGCGCCAGGUGGUGUAUGGGAGGAAUAUCAGCCAAUGUCUUCACUUGCACAUUGGUGAUAACUAUAGCUUAUGUUGUGAAGUCAUUUUUGCUCAGUCUUGCGAAAUAUUUCAAAGCCAUCACUUGUUCUUGGCCUUCAGCACCUGCGGUCACUUAUCUCCUAGGAAGUGCCAGAAAAUGACAAAACCAAUGAACUUGAAGGAAAUAAAGCAACCAAGGAUAAACUGGGCACCAGCUUCCUCAUUCUGUGGGGAGGUGUGCUGAGGGGCAGAAAACAUGGCAAUGAGCAGGAACUGGAGGUGCUCUGGAGUGGCAAGAAGCUGGAUGCAGGAACCAUAGCAACCACCUUCCAGGAGGAACAGUCUGGCUAGGCCACCAUGGUGAUAGCCUCCUCUGAUGUCUCUGACCACAGAUGAAGAAACUGAGACACAAUGAAGUUAACAAAGAAUUUAAGUAAUUUGCCUCAGACCCUUGAACUUGAGUCCUCUGUGAUAGAGUAGGACAUUCUGACUAGCCUCCUCAGAUUAUAUUCCAGCUAGUAGGCAUCCUUCUUAGAAUGUCAUCCUUGUCUGUAAUAAUCUAAUGGAGAUAGGCAAAAGAUAGGACAAAUAAAUUCAAAUAAUCAUUUAAAAAUAAUUUUAUACUUGGUUUUGAAAUGCAUUCCUAUAUUUCCAUUUAAUUGCUAAAGUGUCUGUUUGGGGAAUUUUUGUUUAGUAGCAUAAAUUCAUAGACAGAGAUAUAGCCAAAGAAGCCCUGGACAAUUAUAUAGCUGUCCUAUUCUACCUUUCUUCUCUUUUCCUGUCUGUAAACUCCUACGAGGGAGAGGUCAGUCCUCAGA